GCAGGAUAGCUCAGUUGGUAGAGCAUGAGACUCUUAAUCUCGGGGUUGUGGGUUCAAGCCCCAUAUUGUGCA